ACUCUUACUAACCGAUAGCGCAUAGUACCGUGAGGGAAAGGUGAAAAGAACCCCUGGAGGGGAGUGAAAUAGAACCUGAAAUUGUGUGCUUACAAGCGGUCAGAGCCAGUAAUGGUGAUGGCGUGCCUUUUGGAGAAUGAUCCUGCGAGUUACGUUAAACGGCGAGGUUAAGUAUAACGAAGCCGAAGGGAAACCAAGUCUUAAUAGGGCGAUUUAGUCGUUUGGCGUAGACGCGAAACCUGGUGAUCUAAACCUGUCCAGGAUGAAGCUGUGGUAAGACACAGUGGAGGUCCUAACCCACCGCCGUUGAAAAGUUGGGGGAUGAGGUAGGUUUAGGGGUGAAAAGCCAAUCGAACCAGGAGAUAGCUCGUUCUCUCCGAAAUGCAUCUAGGUGCAGCCUUGAGUGUUCAAUUAUGGGGGUAGAGCACUGAAUGAUCUAGGGGGCAUAUUGCUUACUGAAAUCAAUCAAACUCCAAAUACCAUAAUUUAUAGCUCAGGAGUGAGACCAUGGGAGUUAACUUCCAUUGUCAAAAGGGAAACAACCCAGACCACCAGCUAAGGUCCCUAAUUAUAACUAAGUGGGAAAGGAGGUGGAGAUUCACAAACAACUAGGAGGUUGGCUUAGAAGCAGCCAUACCUUUAAAGAGUGCGUAAUAGCUCACUAGUCGAGAGUCUCUGCGCCGACAAUGUAACGGGGCUAAGUUAUAAACCGAAGCUGUGGAAUCCUUAUGGAUUGGUAGGAGAGCGUUCUGUAGGCCGUUGAAGAAGAAGGGUAACCGACUUUGGAGGUAUCAGAAGUGAGAAUGCAGGAAUAAGUAGCGAGAAAGGGGGCGAGAAUCCCCCUCGCCGGAAGACCAAGGUUUUCAGGGUAAAGCUUGUCUUCCCUGAGUAAGCCGGGACCUAAGCCCAGGCUAUAAUGCGUAGGCGAAUGGAAAACAGAUUAAUAUUUCUGUGCCAGUCAUUUAUUGUGAUGGAGGGACGCAGAAGGGUAUGUGCGCGGACGAUCGGUUGUGUCCGUAGAAGUAUGUAGGGUGACUUAGUAGGUAAAUCCAUUAAGUUAUAUCUGAGGUAUGAUAUACAGUCGUAAGAUGAAUGUACAAAUCCCACGCUGCCAAGAAAAACUUCUAACGUUAAUAUAUGACUGCCCGUACUGUAAACCGACACAGGUGGUCAGGAUGAGAAAUCUAAGGCGGACAGGCUAACUCUCGUUAAGGAACUCUGCAAAAUAACCUCGUAACUUCGGGAGAAGAGGAGCCCUUGUGUGUGAGUAUACACGCGAUACAAAGCGCACGAGGGUCGCAGUGAAGAGGCUCAAGCAACUGUUUAACAAAAACACAGGUCUAUGCUAAGCUGUAAGGCGAUGUAUAUGGGCUGACACCUGCCCAGUGCUGGAAGGUUAAGAGGAGGAGUGAGAGCUCCGAAUUGAAGCCCCAGUGAACGGCGGCCGUAACUAUAACGGUCCUAAGGUAGCGAAAUUCCUUGUCGGGUAAGUUCCGACCUGCACGAAUGGUGUAAUGAUUUGAGCGCUGUCUUGACGGGAGGCCUGGUGAAAUUGUAUUACCGGUGAAGAUACCGGUUACCUACAGUAGGACGGAAAGACCCCAUGGAGCUUUACUGUAGCUUGGUAUUGGGUUUUGGCAUUGCAUGUAUAGGAUAGUUGGGAGACUAUGAUGGUAUGGCGCUAGCUGUAUCGGAGUCAUCGGUGGAAUACCAACCAUUCAAUGCUGAAAUUCUAAUCUGUGGUUUGUAGCCACGGAGACAGUGCUAGGUGGGCAGUUUGACUGGGGCGGUCGCCUCCGAAAGAGUAACGGAGGCGUUCAAAGGUUCUCUCAGGUUGGAUGGAAAUCAACCAUAGAGUGCAAUGGCAUAAGAGAGCUUGACUGCAAGACUGACGGGUCGAGCAGAUGCGAAAGCAGGACAUAGUGAUCCGGCGAUUCCGAAUGGAAGGGUCGUCGCUCAACGGAUAAAAGCUACCCUGGGGAUAACAGGCUGAUCCUACCCGAGAGUCCAUAUCGACGGUAGGGUUUGGCACCUCGAUGUCGGCUCAUCGCAUCCUGGGGCUGGAGAAGGUCCCAAGGGUUGGGCUGUUCGCCCAUUAAAGCGGUACGUGAGCUGGGUUCAGAACGUCGUGAGACAGUUCGGUCCCUAUCCACUGUAGGCGUUAGAAUAUUGAGAAGACCUGUCCUUAGUACGAGAGGACCGGGAUGGACAAACCUCUGAUGUACCAGUUGUCACGCCAGUGGCACAGCUGGGUAGUCACGUUUGGAAUAGAUAAUCGCUGAAAGCAUCUAAGCGAGAAACUAACUUCAAGAUAAGUAUUCU
rnacentral:rRNA from 1 species